rnacentral:tRNA from 1 species
GCCAGUGUGGUGCAGUGGUUUGAGUAUUGAACUAGGACUGCAGACCAGGGUUUGAAUCCCUGCUCAGUAA